AUUGAACGCUGGCGGCAUGCCUUACACAUGCAAGUCGAACGGCAGCGGACCUUCGGGUGCCGGCGAGUGGCGAACGGGUGAGUAACGUAUCGGAACGUACCUUAGAGUGGGGGAUAACGUAGCGAAAGUUACGCUAAUAUCGCAUAUUCUGUGCGCGGGAAAGCAGGGGAUCGCAAGACCUUGUGCUUUUUGAGGGGGCGAUAUCAGAUUAGCUAGUUGGUGAGGUAAAAGCUCACCAAGGCGACGAUCUGUAGCGGAUCUGAGAGGAUGAUCCGCCACACUGGAACUGAGACACGGUCCAGACUCCUACGGGAGGCAGCAGUGGGGAAUUUUGGACAAUGGGGGCAACCCUGAUCCAGCCAUGCCGCGUGAGUGAAGAAGGCCUUCGGGUUGUAAAGCUCUUUCAGCCGGGAAGAAAUCGCACAGGCUAAUACCCUGUGUGGAUGACGGUACCGGAAUAAGAAGCACCGGCUAACUACGUGCCAGCCGCCGCGGUAACAC
rnacentral:rRNA from 1 species